UGUGACAUCUGUAUUCCGUUAUGUGGAAUCUAAAGAUUAGGGUCUAAUAAAUGUAGUACCGUUGACUGAUUUCCUUGUGACUUGGACAUUUUGAAAUUAGUUUAAAUUCAGUAUAGAUUAAACCUACUCAUGGACUAAAGCUCUUUCAAUGGAAAAUCCAUGUAGGCCCCAAUGUUUAAUAGGUUUGUUUUUCAGAACAUGUAUUAAUGGUGUUUCCUACCCCKUGAGAUGUACUUGUGGCUCCAAUGCCACUGUGCCUGGUCAUAGCAUGACAMACUGACCCACAAUGACUCGACUGCYCUCUUUAGUGGGUACGGAACAGUCCCAGGUACCAGACCCUCGCCAGGAGGGCAGUGUAUCCUGACCUAUUAAUCACGCACGUUGGUUAGAGGUGCAAUUCUCUAGAACUAGCAUCAAUGUAUUUGGACCCACUAUUUUAUGUAUGCUGUUGCCUUGAUCUGUGGCUCUUCAAACUUAACCGUUACCAUCUUUGUUAUUUUCAGAUAUAGUCUGGAGGUGCAGCAGUGCAGACUGGUCGUAGUGGGGUUGACAUGGAGUCACAAGUCAUUAUCRGAGCGGUGCUGAAGAACGAAUGAAGAUUGUGACCCGUUGAAGAUGCAAGGUGGCAGUAAUGGGUUGUGCCUUUAGUAGAAGAAAGCAGAUUGUUCAGUUGCUGGUCCUAGACUAGGGUGACCAGAUUUUAUAUUAUACAUAUGCAGCUGCCACUUAUAGCCUUUAGAUGCUGUUUACCACAUCGUGCUCAGUUUAAGUUUGGUAAUCACGCCAAAGCCCUUUUGACUCAGUGUGACCAUUGUUUAAUUAGCGUUUAUUGAGCCAAUUUCACCAUGUACCUGCCCUGUUUGAUUUGAAUAUAAAUGUAUUGCUUUCAACAUAAUUCAAAUAAACUCGAGCUGAUCUGUGGUUGGUUGA